rnacentral:tRNA from 2 species
GCGGACGUGGCCAAGUGGUUAAGGCAGUGGAUUGUGAUUCCGUGAUGCGCGGGUUCGAGUCCCGUCGUUCGCCC